rnacentral:tRNA from 1 species
GGAUGAAUAGCUCAAUGGCAGAGCGUUCCGUUGUUAACGGAAGGGUUGAAAGUUCGAGCCUUUCUUCAUCCG